rnacentral:rRNA from 1 species
CUCAUUAAAUCAGUUAUCGUUUAUUUGAUAGUACCUUACUACUUGGAUAACCGUGGUAAUUCUAGAGCUAAUACAUGCUAAAAACCCCGACUUCGGAAGGGGUGUAUUUAUUAGAUAAAAAACCAAUGCCCUUCGGGGCUCCUUGGUGAUUCAUGAUAACUUAACGAAUCGCAUGGCCUUGCGCCGGCGADGGUUCAUUCAAAUUUCUGCCCUAUCAACUUUCGAUGGUAGGAUAGUGGCCUACCAUGGUAUCAACGGGUAACGGGGAAUUAGGGUUCUAUUCCGGAGAGGGAGCCUGAGAAACGGCUACCACAUCCAAGGAAGGCAGCAGGCGCGCAAAUUACCCAAUCCCGACACGGGGAGGUAGUGACAAUAAAUACUGAUACAGGGCUCUUUUGGGUCUUGUAAUUGGAAUGAGUACAAUUUAAAUACCUUAACGAGGAACAAUUGGAGGGCAAGUCUGGUGCCAGCAGCCGCGGUAAUUCCAGCUCCAAUAGCGUAUAUUAAAGUUGUUGCAGUUAAAAAGCUCGUAGUUGAACCUUGGGCCUGGCUGGCCGGUCCGCCUCACCGCGUGUACUGGUCCGGCCGGGCCUUUCCUUCUGGGGAUCCCCAUGCCCUUCACUGGGUGUGGUGGGGAACCAGGACUUUUACUUUGAAAAAAUUAGAGUGUUCAAAGCAGGCCUUUGCUCGAAUACAUUAGCAUGGAAUAAUAGAAUAGGACGUGCGGUCCUAUUUUGUUGGUUUCUAGGACCGCCGUAAUGAUUAAUAGGGAUAGUCGGGGGCAUCAGUAUUCAAUUGUCAGAGGUGAAAUUCUUGGAUUUAUUGAAGACUAACUACUGCGAAAGCAUUUGCCAAGGAUGUUUUCAUUAAUCAGUGAACGAAAGUUAGGGGAUCGAAGACGAUCAGAUACCGUCGUAGUCUUAACCGUAAACUAUGCCGACUAGGGAUCGGGCGAUGUUAUUAUUUUGACUCGCUCGGCACCUUACGAGAAAUCAAGUCU